CCUACGGGAGGCAGCAGUGGGGAAUAUUGCACAAUGGGCGAAAGCCUGAUGCAGCAACGCCGCGUGAGUGAUGAAGUAUUUCGGUAUGUAAAACUCUAUCAGCAGGGAAGAAGCAAGACGGUACCUACCUAAGAAGCCCCGGCUAACUACGUUCCAGCAGCCGCGGUACUACGUAGGGGGCAAGCGUUGUCCGGAUUUACUUGGUGUAAAGGGAGCGUAGUCGGUAUGGUAAGUCUGAAGUGAAAGCCCAGGGCUUAACCGUGGGACGGCAUUGGAAACUGUUAGACUAGAGUGCAGGAGAGGUAAGUGGAAUUCCUAGUGUAGCGGUGAAAUGCGCAGAGAUUAGGAGGAACACCAGUGGCGAAGGCGGCUUACUGGACAGUAACUGACGUUGAGGUUCGAAAGCGUGGGGAGCAAACAGGAUUAGAUACCCGGGUAGUC
rnacentral:rRNA from 1 species